CCUUUGUACACACCGCCCGUCGCUACUACCGAUUGAAUGGCUUAGUGAGACCUUCGGAUCGAUGAACGGAAGCUUUAACCGGCAUCCGUUUGUUGAGAAGUUGGUCAAACUUGGUCAUUUAGAGG
rnacentral:rRNA from 1 species